GGGUGGUACUUGCCUGGACAUACUCUCAUGGUGUUUAGAUAGGUUUCGUGAGAUGUAUCCGAAUGCUCCGUGUGUGACUUCUGAGUUUAUUUAAUAACAGUGCUUUAUAUGCCUACGUGUAUUUUGAACAGAUGUUGUUUUAUUAGAGUGAUUUUAUUUAUAUGUAAUUUUUUUUAUAAGGUGUAUUUUAUUUGUUAUUUUCCUCCCUUGCAUUGGAGCGUUGUGAGUAGUGUCGACUCUGGAUGGUGGUUUGUGCUUCUUGAUUGUUACUUUGGUAAAUUAUAGUUACGUAGAUUUUGAUUUUUAUUUCCAUUGCCUCCGCUGUUUAGUUUGAUUUACUGUUGUAGGUUUCGGUGAUUUUGGUAUUAGCGUUGGAUAAUGGAUUGGAGGCAUCGUCGUCAGAGAUUCCCACGCGGACUGUCCUAGUGUGUAUCCUAUUUGUUUUCUUGUAUUUAAUUUAAUUUUUUCCUUUUUGGUUUAUCUUUAUUCGCUGCAUAUGGUGUUUCAGUGCAAGAAGAAGAAGAAGUGUUGUCAAGAAUCCGUGAGUGGCCCCAGAAGACGCAGUCAUCGUGUGUGAGCAGGAACGAAGAGUCGAGUUUACUGAGGAAGUGGGAUCAAGCCUAUGUGUCACCUUGGAACAACUCAUGAAAAUCGUGGACCGGAUAACUCAGCCUAAGAAGCAAAGACCGAGACUACUCGAUACAAGACAGAACAAUUCCUUUCGCGUUGUGGUGGCAAAGAGACAGCCGCCUCGGCGUUAAUAAGGAUAUUCAGAGAACGACCGUCGGAGACCGAAUCCCCAGGAGCCUACGCCGACAUCUUCGCCAGGAAAUUCACCGACGGAACCCGAAGCCAAACGAUGCAAGCUAUCGGGCCACCAGGAUGCAUAGCGAACAGCAGAAGGAUACACGACGCCAGGAAAAAAACCGACCAGCCACAUCGUCCAAGAUGGUUUGCUUCAAGUGUCGUGCGGAGGGUAGUAUCGCACCUGAUUGUCCGCUACUGCAGAACAGAAAACCCGGCCUCAAGAACGAACGUCGAGUCGACUCCUGCGUGAUGGAGUCUCUACCUGGUAGUUUAAGUCAUCUGGGUGAGUCGUUCCCAUUUUAUUUAGAUUCCGGAGCCGAAUGCUCAUUAAUCAAAGAAUCUGUAGCCUCGAAAUUUUCUGGCAAACGAACGACUGAUGUAGUAGUAAUGCGAGGCAUAGGGAAUACUUGUGUUAACAGUACAUCUCAGAUCUUGUCCACUGUAUGUAUUGUGGCGGAUCGGUAUCAAUAGGACGCAGAUAGGUCGAGGCAUCAACGCGGCGCAACACCUCCCGGGCGAUCCGCUGGUACCAACCGCCAACACUAGAGGGCUACGACGACAACGAGUCUGUCUAACUCGCUAGCGGUCGAAUAUACGAGCGAUUGAUACAAAUACCGCACCUAGCGAGACUCCCUCUACGUCUAAGGCAGGGACUACCGGGCAUAGCCUUACUGACGAGUCCACCGGUAGUCCCGGGACGAAACGCACAACUCUCUUUCCAUCCGCCACAUUGGUGACCACCGACAACGAACACGCACCUUUGGAGAAGGAGUCAGGAAA